rnacentral:lncRNA from 1 species
UCUUAGUGGGAUAUGUGGUUAUAUGAGAUAUAGACACCUAGCCCACUAAGUUCCACUAAUUGUUAGUGAAACAUUAGGUGUUGAGAUUUGGCAAAUGAAUUGCAUGCAUUUUUGCAUGUAAUUAGGUUAUAAAUAGAGGUGUUUUCAAAUGUUAAAGAACUUUUGCCUUUUUUAUCAUUUUCAUCAUCUAAACAAAAGAAAAAAGAAACCUUCCAAUCCCAUUUUAUCUCCAUUACUUUCUACACCAAAAUUGGGUCCCACAACCCGGUUCUUUGUCUAGAGGAUAGCAGUUGAGUACUAGUGGUGGUCUCGGUUAGAAUUGGUAAGAAGAUAUCAAAUCUUUUGAAAGCUUCAAAGGUAAUAUUUCUUAAAACCCUAAUUUGAUUAGUUUAUGGUUACAUGUUAAUUGUGGCAAUUAGGGUAGAACUAAAACUGACUUAGUUCUAUCAAUAUUUUAGUCUUAUGGAAAGGUAUACGAACUAAAACUGGACAGUUCAAAUAUUUGAAUGACUAUAGAAGAAGGUCGUGGAUUAGGACAGUGGUUCGGGUGAUUCUCGUUGGCGUUUCUUAGCUGAAUGCUUCAUCAGAAGAUUUCAAAUCUCUUCCUACUGUUUGAUCGAACCACAGGUAGAGAAACUAACGCGGAUCUAGAUUUUCUUUGGGGAAUUGUCAAAAAUAGGCCGAAAGUUGGGUAGAAAAAGAGUUUUAGGAUUGAUUGUAAAAAAGUUGAGAUUUAGGACAAAUUUGAGAUGAAAUGACGAAAAUACUCUUAUUUAAUUUUACUUCAUAUUUGUUCUUCUCUUCCAACCUCUCUCUCUUCAAUGUAUAGUAAGUAAAGUAAAAAAAACAUUUGCACUUCUUCUCCUCUCUAAAAUGUUUGUCAACUUUUCGCUUUAGUUCGUUGCCGUUCAUCCUCUACUCCGACAAAUAUCUCACACACUGUGGUUUGUUUUUUUUUUUAAUCUGAAUCGUGUUGUGUUAUAUGUAUAUAUUUGCAUCUUAAAUAUAUAAAUCAAAUAUAAUUUUUAAUUGUUUCAAGUUGAUUUAGGGUUGUUUUAGAGAUGUUUCAAAGGAUGUUAGCAAGUUAUUGUUAUUGUUAUUUUAUCUCGCAAACAUCUCGCAGACAUCUCGCAUGUUCUUAAAUUCAAAUGUUUAAUUUGAAAUGAAUUGAUUUAUGGUGACUUUUAACAUUUGAAUUUUAUUUCAUUUCAGAUUAAACAUUUGAAUUUAAGAACCUGCGAGAUGAACUACACUGGAGUAAAGCUGUGAAGUAAAAUUAAAUAAAGGUAUUUUCGUCAUUUCACCCCAAAUUUGUCAUAAAUCUCAACUUUUUUUACAAUCAAUCCUAAAACUUUUUUUCUACCCCAUUUUUGGCCUAUUUUUGGCAAUUCCCCGAAAGAGUUUAUGCAUGUAAACAUUAAAUUUGUAUUUUUAAAAUACAGUAAUAAGAUCCAAAAUAUUUUUUACUCUAACUUUGGGUUUGGUCAAGUUGAGUUGUGUUCACUGUAUGGCAUAUUUGUUGUGUUUGGAGUGUCUUAACUGACUUAUAACUUCACAAGUGGAUUGAUCGUUCAUCAAUAUUUACUUGUUAACUACAUCUUUAUCUUAUUAACACUUGAAAAGUUGAACAAUGAUGUUGCUUGGAGUUCUAACAAACAGACAAUGAUUUGGCGUGGGUGAUUAGAGUUUACUUUGGUCGUGUUUAUAUUGUUGUCUAUAGUUAUAUCCCAAUAUGCAAUGACAUCAAGGUCUCGGCAGCAAAGACUACUUGUGAUGGGUUUCAUAGUAUAACUUUCUUAAAUUAACAUGUCAUGGUUGAAUUGAUGGUUUUCAUAGUAUAACUUUCUUAAAUUAACAUGUCAUGGUUGAAUUUAUUUGUAUACUUUUUUAUAAUUGUUUUUUUAAAUGUUUUAAUGAAUGUUAUAUACUCAAUUUUUUUUAUAUUAUAUAAUCAAACCUUGUUUAAAUUGUAAAAUAAGAAAUUAUAUUAUAUAAUACAAAUUAGUCCGUAUUGAAAAUUAACAUCAAUAGCAUUUGAAUUUAGACUUGGUAAAGUAGGCUAAAGGCCACGAAAAUACAAGGAACAUAAAUUCAAGAAAAAGCAGACUUGGGAACAAAUAAUUACCAAUUUCAACUAAUCAUUCAUCUAAAAAAAAUCCAAACUUAGGUAGGAUAAGAAAGAUCCAUCCUUUACUAAUCACAACAAGAGAAUGUAAACUUUUGGUUGUUUUUCUUAUAAAUAUAUCGUUAUAAUUUCAUACAAGGUAACUCCAACUUCAAUUUAAAAUUUGAUUAUUCAAUGACUUUGACAUCAAAACUCAUUUUUCUUUGUUUUACAAGUAACAAUUCUCUAAACUACAAAUAUACAGUUGUG